rnacentral:rRNA from 1 species
UACGUAGGGUGCAAGCGUUAAUCGGAAUUACUGGGCGUAAAGCGUGCGCAGGCGGUUAUGUAAGACAGGGGUGAAAUCCCCGGGCUUAACCUGGGAACUGCAUUUGUGACUGCAUCGCUGGAGUGCGGCAGAGGGGGAUGGAAUUCCGCGUGUAGCAGUGAAAUGCGUAGAUAUGCGGAGGAACACCGAUGGCGAAGGCAAUCCCCUGGGCCUGCACUGACGCUCAUGCACGAAAGCGUGGGGAGCGAACAGG